rnacentral:sRNA from 1 species
UGAAGGAGGCCACCCCCGCGCAGGAAAG